ACGCAACGCGAAAACCUUACCUGGGCUUGACAUGGAGAGAAUCUUCUGGAAACAGAAGAGUGCCUCGUAAGAGGAGCUCUCACACAGGUGCUGCAUGGCUGGUCGUCAGCUCGUGCCGUGAGGUGUUGGGUUAAGUCCCGCAACGAGCGCAACCCUCAUCUCUAGUUGCCAUCAUUAAGUUGGGCACUCUAGAAGAAACUGCCGCAGUUAAUGCGGAGGAAGGGUGGGGAUGACGUCAAGUCCUCAUCGGCCCUUAUGUCCAGGGCUACACACGUGCUACAAGUGGGGCGGUAACGAAAGGGUCGACAAACCGUAAGGGGGAGCAAAUCCACUUAAAGCCGUCCUCGGUUCGGAUUGAGGUCUGCAACUCGACCUCAUGAAGCUGGAAUCGCUAGUAAUCGCGGAUCAGCAUGCCGCGGUGAAUACGUUCCCGGGCCUU
rnacentral:rRNA from 1 species